UAUUUAAUACGUGCGGAAAUUGUUACCAUUUUUCGGCUCAAAAAUGAUAACAAUUUCCGCACGUAAUACAAA